ensembl:lncRNA
GGCGGCCGCGCGUCCCCGGCCCCGUCGGUGAGCGGCUGCCCGUCCCUCCCCCCUUCGGGCCGGCGGGGAAGUUGCAACUGGUUGAGCAGCUCCGAAUGUGCGUGCUUAGGCUUUGGAUACUUGGUUUUUUCUUUUUUUUUUUUUUUUUUUCUCUUUUCUUCUAUUUAUUUAUUUAUUUAUUAAUUUUUACUUACCGCAGCCUAAAAAAGCAUGCCUUGGGGCUUCUCCUCCCUACCACAGCCGGGCCGCCCCAGCACAAGCGCAGCCAAUCCCGGCGGGUUGCGAGACGGAGGGAGGAGGAGGAGGGCGAGGGGCAGCCACGCGGGGCCGCGGGCGCGGCAGGUGGGGGAUGGCCCGGGGGGCGGAGGACAGCCGACACCGCCCAGAAGCCGCGCAGCUCCGGCCCCGAGCCGGAGCGUGGCUCGAGCAUCGCUGUAAGAGCCCGCGGCCGCCCCCUCCCGAGCUCUUAGCCGUCCCCUAAAGUUUAUUUUUAGCCCCCGGAAAGCGCUAUAAAGGUCCCGCGGAGCGAGCGGGCCGGGAGACGUGGCACCGCGCUGCCUGCAGCCACUUCUCUGAACUGUUACCUUCAAAAUGAAGAGCAAGACAGAGGUGAGAACAAAGAAAGCCUUGGAAAAAUCCGGUCAUAACAUCUGAGGAAUAGAAAUAAUAGGAAAUACUUAUACAGUCAGAGUUUGGAUGGAAUUUAUGAAAAGUUACAAAGGGCCCUAUUACAUUUGUAUCUAGAUUUGGGAAUUUUAAUUUUACACAUAAUAAAGAUACCAGUGCAUCUUUUCCUCUACUUUGGAUGAUAAUGCAUUCUGCUGUCUUUAGCCUUGCAAAAUUUUCUUAUACCAACUAAUGUACAUUCAGCUUAAUUCUUUAGUUGUUAGACCUAAGACACCUUCUCACAUCAAGCUAGAGCAUGAAUAAUAAUAAAUCAUUAAAAACCAUCCUCUCUGUUUGCUGGUCUAUAAAUAUAAAUAUUAGAUCCCUGAAUUUCUAUGUCCCCAGCAGAACAAGUGGGAUUUGAAUAAAAGGUAUAUGUAUAUGCGACCUUAUCACUGCCAAAUGCCAAAAGUACAUAAUAUAGAGCUUAUCUGGACUUCAGGCCUUCGGUGCUGUGUAGGUAGAGGUGAUUCUUGGCAUAACUCCUACCUUUGUAGAAUUAAAACAUCAUAAUUUUUAGAAGAGUUCUUAACCAAUUGUGUAGACAUCAUAAUUGGGCAGUAUUUCUGUGACACUGAUGUAGCAUUAAGAGACCUAAAUCAAAUUUUGUCCAUGAAAACACACAAAACAGUCAGUGAGCACCAGGCAAUGGGGAGUAAUAUGUGAAAAAGGACAGCAGCAAUGAAGUCUAAUCCCAGUGAUAUAUUCCUCUGUUGCCUACACACUCUGUUCUGUUGCCUGCUGAGAAAAACCAAUCUAGAUUGUGUUAUUUACAACUGAUCUUUUUAGGCUAGAACUGUUAAAACAGAAUGCCAAACAACUUGAAAGUUUCUGUAGAAAUACUGUUAGGAAGACAAAAGAGAAAAUAAAUUAAAGCUAAUGAUUAUUUAUCACUGAGAAACACACACACACACAAAAAAGCCUUCUGAGUUUACUUUGCUGGUUUCAAGUACUAAAACUUCCACCUCAAAGUCUGUUCUUCUGUCUCAUUAGUCUUAAUUCAUGGCAGUGCAGAGCAAUAGAAGCGUAAGGAGGUGCUCAUUUCAUACUAGAUUUGAAAGGAAGCCCAACAAGCAGCUGUACAAAGUUGUUUUUUUGUUUGUUUGUUUGUUUGCUUUUUUGUUUUUUUGCAUCCUGGCACUUCUGGAUUUAGCAGCUGCUCUGCCUGUCUGCACUCGGGGUCAAACAUUUAAGAGUCAACUAAAUGUGAGGGAGGUUUCCCUACCAAGUGUCAUUCACAAGAGCAGAUGCUGCAGGCUGUGAAUUAGGGACAGGGGAUAGUCUCACAUCAUCUACUGACUGCUAUUAAUAACCCUGUUUACAUCUGAUCCCUGCCCCAAAUCCUUCCCAUAUGGUACUCAAGUACCAAUUUCUUAUGUUUUCCAAAGGUCACCUAUCAUCAGCACCAAGAACAGACCACAGGUCCCCUGACACAGCACUACCACUGUGCAGAAUCUGUGUUGAGCUAAACUCUCUGCAGACAUGCCUUUAGCUUUUAUGCUGUGCUGUCGCAAAGCAGUGCUCAGAACAAAGGAAGCCCAUUUCCUAAGCAGUUGAAAACUUUGCUAGCAAAGUACAGUGCACUUGUUCAUUGCAGGCAGUCCAUUUAAAAAUGUACACCUAUCUUCUAUGUUGUUCUUCCAUUUAAAUCUGCAUAAAUCAGCCUGCAUCGUAGCUUUGUCAGCUGGCUGAUAUUCAACAAUGAGAGGAAGUAGAAAGCGGCAGAAUUAAUAUCCACUGGCUGAAUGUAGUUCCAGUACCACCUAACACUAGAGUGUUUGACUAAUUGAUUGCCCUUAGCAUUCUGCUAACAACAGAUGUACGGUAUGAGUUAAAUUAGUAAAUUUGUAUUGCUCCUAUUGCUUUCCAUAGCCUGAAACAGUUGUAAUUAUUGAAAUUAUUUAAAUCAGAAACAUUGUAUUCAAAACACUUUAAUUGAUUUUCUUUGUAUUUUUGUUAAUAAAAACUGCUCUAAUAAAAGUACCGUGGGGUAAUGAUUUGUAGUUUCGGCCGCACACUUGAAAACACGAAGGGGAUCGUGCUGAAGAGCAGAACACCUAUCAGAGCCAGCUCCAAGAACUCAGAAUCUGAUUCUCCACAAUCAGAGUUUCAGAAAAUAAGCCUCCUUCCAAAAGGAGUAUGUUCAGACAUACUGGCAAAGAGCAAAAGCUAUUGUUUCUUUGUAGCUACACCAGCUCCACUGAGAUUGCAAUUUUGUUUUGGUCUUUUUUUUUCUACAUAAUGAAACUCGCAGUUCAUAAAAGAUCAGGUUAAGGUAAGGAAACUGAAAUUAGUGUUAACUGUGUUUCUAUCAUCAUGCUUUACAUAAUACCAGAAGAUAUCAAAAGGAGAUCAAAACUAUAAUGUCUACGCAUCCUGAAGUACCUCUUAUCUGUAAAGGACAUCCUCAUUCAGAGCAAACGUAAUGGAGAGAGGCAUGGAAAGGAACAGGUGAGACCAGUCCACCAGUGCAUGUCUCCAAGACUGGUUGCCUCCACCGGAAUUUUGGAUUUUAUAAUCAUGGGAAAGUCUUUGAGACACAAGAUCUGCUGGGGGUCGUCGUAACCCAUCUUUCUCAAUUGGGAAGAUAUUUCUUGGCCUGUAACAUGGUGAGCCUGAUUGAGAGGGCUUUAAACUACAAUCAGCUUGGGUGGGGGGGAUACCAUUAGGAACACUGAGGUUGUGCCACGGGAUGAUGUAGACUGUUUGAGAGUGGCAAGGCUAAUGGGAUCAUUUGUGACACUUCAGGAAGUUCUACAGGUUCAGGAAUACAUCUGAAAUGUUUGAAUACUAACACACACAGCAUGAGAAAAAAAUGGGAUGAACUGGAAGCUUUGGUCCUUUCCCAGACCUCUGAUAUCAUUGGUAUCAGGUGCUGUUGACUCCCUGGAGGGUGUAGAGGCUUUUCAGAGUGACAGUGGAGUAUCACGAAUCACCAACAGCCUGAAGUUCAACAAAGGAAAAUGAUGAGAUCUGCACCUGAGAUGGAGCAAUGUCAAACACAAGCACAGAUGGGAGACAAGUGACUGGAGUCAAGCUCAGCUUGAGCCAGCGGUGUGCCCUGGUAGCCAAGAGGGCAAACUGCAUUUUGGGAUGCAUUAAACGCAGCACAACCAGCCAGUCAAAACAGGUGAUCCUUCCUCUACACUUAGCAUUACUGCAGCCUUACUUCAAAUAUUGUGUACAGCUCCGGACUCCACAAUAUAAAAAGUGUAUCAAUAUAACUUCAAAGCAUCUAGAGAAGGGCAAGAAGACUUGUAAAAGAGUGGAAAGACAUGUCCUAUGAGGAGAGGCUGAGGAUACUUGGGCUGUCCAACCUGAAGAAGAAGUGGCCGAGAGGCAACCUCACAGCUCUUUGCAUCUCCCUGAGGAAGGGAAGCAGAGGGAUGUGCCCAACUCUUCUCCCUGGGAACCAACGGCAGGAUGUAUGUGAAUGGCACAAAGCUGCAUUAAGGGAGGUUCAGACUGAACAUUAGGAGAAAUUCCUUUAUCAUAUACUGGAGCAGGCUUCCUAGAGUAGUGAUUCAUGUUGAAUGCCUGUCAGUGUUAAAGAGAUGUUUGGACAAUGUCUUUAAUGAUGUUUUAACAUUUGGUUAGUCCUGAAGUGGUCGGACAGAUGGACUAGAAUACGUCGCAAGGUCUCUUCCAACUGAACAAUUCUAUCCUAUUCUGUUCUGUUCCUUCACUUGUCAUUGUAUCAUAAAACAAAGGGAAUUCUUUAUUUGCCUUCUCCAGAGGGCCUUCUCACAUGAUAGUUCAAAUCUCAACUUUCUAUCUUCUCAUCCACUUCUUUCAAGCCAAAAACUGCAAACAGCUUUUUAGAUUCAGGUAUACUAUGGAUUUCUACCUUGCUAAUUACUAACAUUAAGUUUUAUUUUUGACCACCUCUGAGAAUCAAGAUGAUGUUUUCACAGAGCUGCCACUUGCAACUCCAAUAUCUUUUUGUUGAAUACCAAGAACUUGAGAAUCCACUUCUACUUGUGCAAAGUUAGGUUUGUUUUGUUCUAUGAGCAUCCCACUACACUUACAUAAGCAGAAUUUCAUUCUCACUCUUACUAUCCAUUCAUGCUAUCUUCCGAGGUCUUUCUGCAGAAUCUGUAGAUGUUCUUUAUCUUUGCCACCCACAGUAACUCAGUAUUAUCAGCAUGUGCCCAAAUACCUCUUGUUGUACAUGAAGAAUGACAGAUUGAUUUUCACCAGAUUGUAUUACACAGUUUAAAAAAUAAAAAGAAA